rnacentral:rRNA from 1 species
UACGUAGGGGCUAGCGUUGUCCGGAAUCAUUGGGCGUAAAGAGCGUGUAGGCGGCCCGGUAAGUCCGCUGUAAAAGUCAAAGGCUUAACCUUUUGAAUGUCAGUGGAUUACUGCCGGGCUAGAGUCCGGAAGAGGCGAGUGGAACUCCUGGUGUAGCGGUGGAAUGCGUAGAGAUCAGGCGGAACACCCCUGGCGAAAGGCGGCCACUGGGGCCCUC